rnacentral:tRNA from 1 species
GGAGUUGUGGCUCAUUGGUAGAGCACUCACCCAGCAUGUGUGAGGCCCUGGGUUCGAUCCUCAGCACCAACU